AUGCUUACCUGGAAGGGGAGACACCACGAUGACGAAGGUGGUUUUUCCAGGACGAGGCUUAUCCAUUGCACUCCGGAUGUGCUGAGCCCUGCGAUUUCCCCAAAUUUUCCCCAGGGAAACUCGACUACAUAAUUGUGGUAGUGGGGGACUGCGUUCUCGCUCUCCCCUG